CUGGGGUCCUUAGGUCAGUAGCGUUUCACACAUCAUAUGUGGCUGUGUGAGUGGCAGUGGUUCGGGUGCGGCGUCAAGUUGAAGCGUGUGACUGAGCAGACGCCAGCAAGGCCGCUGUGAGGCAGCUCCACCAAUGCUUGGAGGGGCGAGCUAAUUGUGUCAAAGUUCUCCGUAUGUGAUCAAGCACUUCGCUGGCUAUUGUGGCCGCCAGCGAGGGGGAAGUGUAAACGUCCAAAAGCUUGUGCUAACUUUCACCGCAACAGAUCCAGACUGCUACAUGGUGUUGCUAAGCUGCUGUUCUCUACACUGUAUGUUUGUAUGACUGGUAUGGUUCUUAGACUGUGCAUAUUUUACAUAUGUAUUUUGUUUGCCUCUUCUAGCCUGUGGCUAGGUGUAUAAUAGCGUAUAGGCCGUUCUGUGAGCCACAGGUUAGAGGGGCUUUUCUUUCCUUUUACCCCUGUCUUCCCUUGUCUUCCCCUUAAGGCCCUAAGUAAUUUCAGAUACAGUCGAGCCUGGGUAGUGUGAGGGGCUGCUGGAUAGCGGGUUCCCUUAAAGUUCACUCAAUGACUGGUUGUGGUGCUGUGUGUGAGCCUUAAUGCCUUUAGUUAGGCUUUCCUUAGCGACAGAAGAUUUGCAGUGCAGUGUAUUGUGAAUUCUUAGCGUGUAUUACUUCAAGAAGUGCGGUCAUCAUUCACGUGUAGUAGUGAGACCUAACAUCCUGUUAGUAUUUCAUCUCUCAGCCACUCGACUAGUCUAAACUUGAUGGCUGUAACUUUCCCUUCCCCCCUCCAUGUUUAAUUGUUGACCAACCACA